rnacentral:rRNA from 1 species
AGUGAACGCUGGCGGUAGGCCUAACACAUGCAAGUCGAACGGCAGCACAGUAAGAGCUUGCUCUUACGGGUGGCGAGUGGCGGACGGGUGAGGAAUACAUCGGAAUCUACUUUUUCGUGGGGGAUAACGUAGGGAAACUUACGCUAAUACCGCAUACGACCUACGGGUGAAAGCAGGGGAUCUUCGGACCUUGCGCGAUUGAAUGCGCCGAUGUCGGAUUAGCUAGUUGGCGGGGUAAAGGCCCACCAAGGCGGCGAUCCGUAGCUGGUCUGAGAGGAUGAUCAGCCACACUGGAACUGAGACACGGUCCAGACUCCUACGGGAGGCAGCAGUGGGGAAUAUUGGACAAUGGGCGCAAGCCUGAUCCAGCCAUACCGCGUGGGUGAAGAAGGCCUUCGGGUUGUAAAGCCCUUUUGUUGGGAAAGAAAAGCAGCAGGUUAAUACCCCGCUGUUCUGACGGUACCCAAAGAAUAAGCACCGGCUAACUUCGUG